UGCUUGAGCCCAGGAGGUUGAGGCUACAGUGAGCCUAGAUUGUGCCACUGCAGUCCAGCCUAGCGCCUGGCGACAAAGUGAGACUCUGUCUCAAAAAAAUAAAAAUGAAAAUAAAGGCAUAUGCCACAGUGACAUGUUAAAGCGGUAAUGAUUAUUUCCAAAUAAUAGAAGUUUUAAAUGUCAGAUCAGCUUUGGUCUGUAGAUUAUAAAAAUACUGUAUUGGUUUAGAAAUGGAGCUAGGGGUGGGAUAGCAUUAGGAGAAAUACCUAAUAUAGAUGGCGGGGUGGUGGAUACAGCAAACCACCAUGGCACAUGUAUACCUGUGUAACAAACCUGCACAUUCUGCACAUGUACCCCAGAACUUAAAGUAUAAUUUAAAAAAAGGAAAUGUAGAUAUUUAAAAUUUUUUAAAAAGCAUUUGUCAUAGGUCAGUUAGAAGUAUUAAUAAAUGCUAUAGUUUAAAUACAGAAUGAAGGUUUUCACAUUAUGUUCAAGAAUGUAAGUCUUUUCUGUCAGUCUCUUGCAUGUACCGCAUUAGUUUCUCUCAUAUACUAAAAUUCUAUGAUAGUUACAGUUACUGCUUAAUUAAUCCCCUGGAAUGUGCUAGGCAUUGUACAAGAUUUUGGAAAAUCAAAGAAGAUGAAGCAUAGACACUGUCCUUUAGAAGUUUGUAAUUUAGAGGUAACUAUGAUUACAGUGUACUAAGUGUGACAGUAGAGGUUAGGAAUAAACAAUAGAGUUUGAGCACAGGUAAAGGAAGCCCAAGAUAAGUCAGAGGAGAUUAAAUUUGGCUGGGUUCUGGAGAAUCAGUAGUGGGUUUCCAGAUAACCUGUGGUGUGGAAGGACAUUGAAGACAGAGGUUAUGGCUUGUGGAAAGGCUUAGGGUUAUUGAAAUAUGCUGUCUAUUGGAAAAAGAAUAGGGUCUUCUGAGGUUGUCACAGGUGAAUAUCAGAGGAAAAGAAGGUAGAACCCCAAACUGAAGGUUUUAAUGUGUCUUGUAGCAAGUUUUACUUUAUCCUGUAGGUAAGAGGGAACAUCAUAUCUGUUAUUUUUAAAACAACAGUAACUAGAGAAAUCUCCUUUGCAGUGAGUUAUUUUUUAAGCAAGUUGGACAUUUGGAAUAGGAAGAAACAAAAUGAGAAAACUCAAUUUUAUAUCAAGGAAGGAACAAUGAAAGCUAAAAUAAUUUGGUGAACAGCUUAAAGAGAGAUUUUAAGGUGGAAUCUAUAGGACAUGUAUGAAUGGAGAACAAUCGAAGAUGAACCUAAAGUUACUAGACUGGGUGAUACAGAAAUUGAAGUCAUUUUAUACUUUCAGUAUGGGUUUAUUCAGAGCCAAUUCCAUGUGCAUAUCUAAAGCCAUGCCGCUAUAUUUUGAGUAUGGAUUAGUUAACAGUGUAGACAACGUUAAAAAUUCAUACAUGAAAAAAAAUAGGCAUGCUGGUAAAUUAAUGAUAAAGUACUGAAGCAGUUCACCAGUUUGAAACUAUGAUCACACAGACUCAUGGAAUGUUAGCACUGGAAAGUCUUUCAUGAUCAUCUAUUGUGUUGGGAUUUUUAAAGGAAUUUUAAAAAUAACUUAUAAUGGCCGGGCGCGGUGGCUCAAACCUGUAA